AUUUGGUCAAUAAAUGGGAGUCAAGGCUUGCUGCCACUCUUAGGGAAGGUUUUUGUGGUGGGGUGUGCAGAGGGCAAAACACUGUGGCUCACUUUCGGCGGCGGGACCAAGGUGGAGAUCCAACGGAGUGUGGCUCAGCCGUCUGCCUUCAUCUUCCAACCAUCUAAUGAACAAUUGCUAACAGGCUCAGCCUCAGUGGUGUGCCUUGUGAACAACUUCUACCCCAAGACAGCCACAGUCCUGUGGAAGGUCGAUGGCAAGACCACAGACUCAGGGGUCGCCACCAGCAUCACAGAUCAGGACAGCACGGACAAUACAUACAGCUUGAGCAGCACCCUGGCCCUCACCAAGGAUGAAUACAACGCUCAUGACUUGUACAGCUGUGAGAUCACUCACGAAAGCCUGUCUUCAGCCCUAGUGAAGUCCUUCCAGAGGAGCCAGUGUUAAGAAGGGAACCGCCCCCACCCCCACCCUCUCUUCUUGCUCUGGGGUUUCAAUGCCCCGUUUCUCAGCCUUGUGAUAAAAGGUCAUUCUCCUGUUCAAAGGCCUGUGGUCUCACCAAAGAUCCACCCACUAUGGCCUUAUCCAUUCUUUUCUUCAUCUUUGCCUGCUUUCAUGAUGUCUAUAUUUGAAAGGAAAAAAAAAAUAAAUUCAAUGAAAUGGU